CUUCCACCAUAAUUGCAAAGGAAUCCCAAUUUCUCUCCAACAACCUACUUCCUAAUGGCAAGUUCCUAUAUUAGGAUCAGGAUAAUAUGCAUAAAAAUAGUUCAUAAAUACUUAUUAAGUUUUCAUUCAUUAUCAAAGAGCUUUUCUCUUAGAAAGGGGAACUAUCAUGUUUUGAGCGCUUCCUAUGUGCUAGGCACUGUACCAAGAACUUUACAGGCAUCAGGCAUCAUGCUUUUUCAAUUUCAUAACAACUUUUUGAGAAAGGGACUAUUUUUUUUAUUGAAGUGUGACUGACAUACAAUAUUCUGUUAGUUUCAUGUGUACAACACAGUGAUUCAACUUUUGUAAACAUUGCAAAAACUGAUCAUCACAAUAAGUCUAGUUACCAUCUGUCACCUUGCAAAGUUAAUACAAUAUUAUUGACUGUAUGCUGAAAGGGAUUAUUAUUAUCCCCAUUUUUACAGGGGAUUUUACAUUUUACAGUCUGUUUCCUCCAACAGACUCCUAGAAUUGAAGCAAUUUGUCCAAGUUCAAAUACAAAGCCAGUUUUGGAACCCAGGUGAGUCUGACUUCAAAUUCUCACUCUUACUGUUGCUUAUGUAAGUAGCAUAUGGAAGUAUGAAACAGUGAGAGUGUCAGACAACAUGCAUAGUUAACAAACAACCAGGCAAAGUUAGAUAAUAGGCCAGUUCAGUAGGUGGAUGUGUAAAGCAAAUGUGUGCCUUUGCUAGGAUGACUUAGCCCCAGGUCUCCGACAGCAGGUAAAAGUGAAAAAAUAGGCGGCCUGUGAGAUAAUGCUCCCCCAAGAUAUUUCCCCAUUUUCUUUCCCACCUCCAGGUGCACCACAACUCAUUGUGAAUGUCCCUCCCUCACCAAAGGCUGUGCUGCAGAUGGUUCAGAACUUCUUUUGUCUCUUUCUCAUCAAAAUUCCCUGGAUCAUAAAAAAAGUUAAAAGCACUUAUCUGGAUACCUUGAAAACUGCUCGCAAGUCUUUGGAGGCAACCAACCUGAAGACUUGGACACACCUGCUGCACUCCUAUGUCAUUCUUUGGGACAAAGUGGGGUGACCUGGCCAUUGCCAAGGUGACAUGAGACUUUGCAGUUUCCUGGUAAAGAGAUACAAGGGCUCUGUCAGUUUAUUACACUUAUGGCCUUAGGUCAACUUCUAAAUCUCAGUUUCCAAAUCUGUAAAGUAGUGAUAAAUUACAUUCUCAGGGCCUUGGUGGGGAUUAACGGAGAUAGUCUAUAUUAAACGCUUCACCCUGUCCUUGGCACAUGUAGCAUUCAAAACAUAAUUGUAUGUGUGGUUUCACACUGGGAACAAGGGAAACGAUGUCCUUUUGACUCUUUGUCUUGAACUCCCGAACCCGAACAGCUCUGCCUCUCCAUUUCCUUGGCUCCGUAUUCCUCUGACCUCUGGGGAGAGGACAGCAAUGAUGAUGAAAGAGACCUCUGCUAGCACUCUCAAUGCCAUCAUUACAGCCUAUUGCAUAGCUUACAUAUUUUCAGCUAUUACCUUUUCCCUGUUUAGAUCAUGCAUUUUCCCUUAGAGCAAAUCCAGGGGCAAAUCUUCAUCCUCAUCUCACUGGCCGCCUGCAUGGUUGCUGCAUGAGAAACAGCUGGAGUUGCAAGAUUUGAGAAAAAUAAGGAAAAAUAAGGAAAAUGAUGGAUACAUAGCCAUUUGCACAUAAAAAUCAUCUGCUUUCACCAAAGCAGAGGGUAAAAGAACAUUCCUAAUCUGCUUCAAGUUAUUUGAGGUUCCAUUCUUGUAACAAUAGUAGAGUUAAUUAUAUUGUGUAUAACUCACUGAUCAUACUCUUUUUUUAUUUUAUUUUAUUUUAUUUUAUUUUAUUUUAUUUUAUUUUAUUUUAAAGACUUUAUUUAUUCAUGAAAGACGGGCGGG
ensembl:lncRNA